CAGAACAAAGCAAUCUCAUCCUGUUGAAAAAAAAAAAACUACAACUUUAAUUUCCGCUAACAAAAGGUGACUGAACGAGGGCAAAGGGCAACAGCUGACUUACCUUAAUUACUCACAGUAUUUCGAGCCAUGCUAAUUAUUUGCACAGUGCACUAAGGAAAAUACGUAUACAUAUAUAUAUAUAUAUAUAUUUAUAUAUCUGGUGUGGCUCGUGGCCAAGGAUGGCGUCGACGACGGCGUAUUUAAUUAUAAUGGCGAAUGCGCUUAGCUUAAGCAUUAAUGUCGUUUCCGUCUGUUGACGGCGAUGGCGAUUGCGAUGACGAUGGCAAGGACGAAGGAUAUAUAUAGCAAGCUAAAGGCGUGGCCUUUUUUUUUGACUAGCCUGGUCGCUCGGUGUGGCGAUUUAAUUACAAGCCCGGCAUGUCGCUUAAACAUAAUUUUUCUUUGGCUGCAAGAAGAUUACGUUUGAAGUUCUGGAUUGCGCUUUCUGAUUUGCUGCCUUGAUAACAAUUAAAUGCAAUCAUUAAGCGUAAUUUACACUCUAAAAAGCCAACUACAGCCAAAUUUAUUGAACAAAAUUGAUUUUAUCGCCAACUUUGCAUGGUAUCUGAUAGUCGUACCUUCUUAUAUUCUCAUCACACUCAUUCUUUGAUUUAUUGUUCGAUUGGCCAAUAUUGUCAAUAAAUGCUUUAUUUAAACAAAA